UACAUCUUUAUCGACGAGCACAACAGAAACAUCCACCCAGAGUUCCACCCCACCACAAACAAGUGAAACAACAACUGAUGUCAGUUCCACAACAUCAGAACUGAGUAUCAUCAAGGUAUGUG